rnacentral:rRNA from 1 species
AUUGAACGCUGGCGGCAGGCCUAACACAUGCAAGUCGAACGGUAACAGAAAGCAGCUUGCUGCUUUGCUGACGAGUGGCGGACGGGUGAGUAAUGUCUGGGAAACUGCCUGAUGGAGGGGGAUAACUACUGGAAACGGUAGCUAAUACCGCAUAACGUCGCAAGACCAAAGAGGGGGACCUUCGGGCGUCUUGCCAUCGGAUGUGCCCAGAUGGGAUUAGCUAGUAGGUGGGGUAACGGCUCACCUAGGCGACGAUCCCUAGCUGGUCUGAGAGGAUGACCGGCCACACUGGAACUGAGACACGGUCCAGACUCCUACGGGAGGCAGCAGUGGGGAAUAUUGCACAAUGGGCGCAAGCCUGAUGCAGCCAUGCCGCGUGUGUGAAGAAGGCCUUCGGGUUGUAAAGUACUUUCAGCGGGGAGGAAGGGAGUAAAGUUAAUACCUUUGCUCAUUGACGUUACCCGCAGAAGAAGCACCGGCUAACUCCGUG